rnacentral:lncRNA from 1 species
GGCCACCUAGCCUAGAGGCGGCUGCCAAGCGUCCUGGCUGAGGGAUGGCGGGACCCCAGGCGGCUGGAGUGGAGAAAGUUGACCGCCCCCGUCUUUUCUGCCCCGUGGGUGGCUACUGCGUGCCCCCAAGUAACCCAGAGGUUGAGGGCCCCCCAGUGCGCGGCGGCCGGGGGUCAGGAUGCGGGACUCCCCUCCACCGCCAUGAUCUCGCAGUGUGGGGGAGCGCUCGGGGACAGAAAUGAGGCCCGAGAUGUGUGCCUUCUCCUUGCUCCUGACCGCUGACUUCGUUAUUCCAAAUACGCAGCCGAAACCAUCGCUCUUGCAGGUGCAGCUUUUCUCUGCCUCUCCUAUGUGGAAAGCAGCGCAGCGUGGACUCCAGCCAAACUCCCUCGAUUGGAUUGCAGCUCUCUGGCUCUCUGUCCCUGUGACCUUGGGCAGUUUACCUCCUCUAUGUCUCAGUUUCCUCAGCUGUGCAAAGGGGUUACUGAUCCUGCUUAAUGGGGUGGGUUGUUGUGAAGAGGAAAUGAGUUAACAUAAGUAGAGAAAGAGACUGGUGCCUGGCAAGCACUAUUGAGUCAGGGCACAAAGUGUUCAUUUCCUCAAGAGGACACAACAAGGCACCAUCUUGGAAGCAGAGAGCGAGCCAUCACUGGACACCAAACCUGCAGGUGCCUUGAUCUUGGACUUCCCAGCCUCUAUAACUCAAAUAUGCACUGGAAUUAGGAGUCUCGCACUUUACUGGCCCCUGCAGCUGCAGAGAUGACUGGUCACAUUGUCAUGGAUGAAGCAAAGGAUAUGCCACCACCCUCCUGUGUCUGAAGCUUGCCCAGCCAGCAGGUCCAGCUCCAGUGCUGCGUCAUGUGAAAGCCUUCCCCACUAUCAUGGCCUGCCCUGGAUUCUCAUGGAAUUAAAUGGACAAGCUGAUUCUAAAAUUCAUAUGGAACUGCAAGGGACACAGAAAGAACCAAAGCAGUCUUGGACAAGAACAAUGUUAGAAGACUCACUUCUCCAUUUCAAAACUUACUACAAAACUAUAGUAAUCGACCAGGUGCGGUGGCUCACGCCUGUAAUCCCAGCAUUUUGGGAGGCCAAGGUGGGCAGAUCACUUGAGGUCAGGAGUUUGAGACCAGCUUGGCCAACAUGGUGAAACCCCAUCUCAACUAAAAAGACAAAAAAAUUAGCUGGACAUGGUGGUGGGCGCCUAUAAUCUCAGCUACUCAGGAGGCUGAUGCAGAAGAAUGGCGUGAACCCGGGAGGCAGAGGUUGCAGUGAGCCAAGAUCAUGCCGUUGCACUCCAGCCUGGGCAACAGAGCGAGACUCUGUCUCAAAAAAAAAAAAAAAAAAAGUUCAUAACAGCACUAUUCACAAUAGCCCAAAAAUGGAAACAACACAAAUGACCACCAACAGGUAAAUGGAUAAACAGAAUAAAGGAAUAUUAUUUAGCGUCACAGAUAAUGAGGUGUUGAAUGAGGCUACAGCGCGGAUGAACCUGGAAACACUGUGCUAAGAGAAAGACGCCCGACACAAAAGCCCACAUACUGUGUGAUUCCAGUUUUAUGAAAUGUCCAGAAUAGGCAAAUCUACGGAGAGAAAGAUGCCAGACACAAAAGCCCACAUGCUGUGUGAUUCCGGUUCUAUGAAAUGUCCAGAACAGGCAAAUCCAUGGAGAGAAAGACGCCAGACACAAAAGCCCACAUGCUGUGUGAUUCCGGUUCUAUGAAAUGUCCAGAAUAGGAAAAUCUACGGAGACAGAAAGUAGAAUCACCUGGACACC